rnacentral:rRNA from 1 species
AUGGAGGCCCUUUUUGUGCUGGAGCAGGAGCUCGUCCGGGACCCGCACCAUGGCAUGCUUGCCGCCGUCCUCGGCAGCAAGCAGGCGGCCGAGGACGCCAUCCUCUACAGCUACAUGUACGGCUUUUCCGGCUUCGCCGCCGUGCUCACCAACGCGCAGGUGGCGCAGCUCUCCGAUUUGCGUGGGUUUGUGCGGGUGGUUCGGAACCGGGUGCUUGAUGUGCACACCACCAGGAGCUGGGACUUCAUGCGGGUGAACCCAUCGCCAGCUGGCGGGAGCAGAAUCCUCUCUGGCAGCAGGUUCGGGGAGGAAUCCAUCAUCGGUGUGCUAGACACAGGGAUAUGGCCGGAGUCAGCCAGCAUUAGAGACGACGGCAUCGGCGAGGUUCCAUGGCGGUGGAAAGGGCAAUGCGUCGCCGGAGAAAGGUUCAAUUCUUCCAACUGCAACAGAUUUACUAUGGAGUUCGAAAUCGCGAACAUCUGA